rnacentral:rRNA from 1 species
UGCCAGCCGCCGCGGUAAUACGAAGGGAGCGAGCGUUGUUCGGAUUUACUGGGCGUAAAGGGCGUGCAGGCGGGGCCGUAAGUCGAACGUGAAAACUGGAGGCUCAACCUCCAGAUUGCAUUCGAAACUGCGGUUCUUGAGUCCAGGAGAGGAGAGCGGAAUCGACAGUGUAGCGGUGAAAUGUGUAGAUAUUGUCGAGAACACCGGUGGCGAAGGCGGCUCUCUGGCCUGGUACUGACGCUGAGACGCGAAAGCUAGGGUAGCAAACAGGAUUAGAUA